rnacentral:lncRNA from 1 species
CUUUAUUUUACAAAAAUGGGCCACAUCCAAUUGGCCAUCCAAUCUUUUCUCUCUUCACUCUCUUCCAAGUGGUGUAGCCACAGAGAACAUACAAACACUAUUUUGGUAUUGCUGUGGCUGCCAGUUCAACUCUGGCAUGGAAGUCAUUUUUCUUACUCUGACUAUAUACCUACUACUAUUAUACUAAAGGGUAGUACCAGUACUACUAUAUACAUACAAGUAGUAGUAGUAGUAGCAGCACAUACAAUAAAUCGCAAGUGUGAUCCAGGGAUGCCAUUUCGUGAAAUAAAAUUUUCAAAAUUCUCGCCAGUCCAGAAAUGCAAGUCCAGCAGGUGCGGCGGCGGCGGGAAUUAGCAACGGAGUAGCAGCGGCAGCGACGGCGGUGGGGCUGGGAGGGCCAUUAGUCUCAACAAGAGGCGCGGCGGCGGGGGGAAUUAGCAACAGCAGCAGGCGUGGCGGUGGGGGGAAUUAGCAACGGCGUAGCAGCGGCAGCGACGAAGGUGGGGCUGGGAGGUGCAUUAGUCUGAACAACAGGCGCGGCGGCGGCGGGAAAUAGCAACAGUAGCAGGUGCGGCGGCGGCGGGCAUUAGGAACGGAGUAGCAGCGGCAGCGACGAUAAAGGGGCUGGGAGGUGCAUUAGUCUCGACAAAAGGCGCGGCGGCGGCGGGAACUAGCAACAGAGUAGCAACGGCAGCGACGGCGGUGGGGCUGGGAGGUGCAGUAGCCUAAACGGCAGGCGUGAUAGCGGCGGGAACUAGCAACGGAGUAGCAACGGCAGCGACGGUGAAGGGGCUGGGAGGUGCAGUAGCCUAAACGGCAGGCGUGGCAGCGGCGGGAAAUAGCAACAGCAGCAGGUGCGGCGGCGGCGGGAAUUAGCAACGGAGUAGCAGCGGCAGUGACGAAGGUGGGGCUGGGAGGUGCAGUAGCCUAAACGGCAGGCGUGGCAGCGGCGGGAAAUAGCAACAGCAGCAGGCGCGGCGGCGGCGGGAAUUAGCAACGGAGUAGCAGCGGCAGUGACGAAGGUGGGGCUGGGAGGUGCAGUAGCCUAAACGGCAGGCGCGGCGGCGGCGGGAAAUAGCAACACAGCAGCAGCGGCAGCGACGAAGGUGGGGCUGGGAGGUGCAGUAGCCUAAAUGGCAGGCGCGGCGGCGGCGGGAAAUAGCAACACAGCAACAGCGGCAGCGACGGCGAAGGGGCUUGGAG